rnacentral:rRNA from 1 species
AGUAACACGUAAGCAACCUGCCUUUAAGACGAGAAUAACAAUUGGAAACAGUUGCUAAGGCUGGAUAGGAAAUAAAAAGGCAUCUUUUUAUUUUUAAAAGACCUUUUUCGGAAGGUAUGCUUAAAGAGGGGCUUGCGUCACAUUAGUUAGUUGGUAGGGUAAAGGCCUACCAAGACGAUGAUGUGUAGCUGGACUGAGAGGUUGAACAGCCACAUUGGGACUGAGACACGGCCCAAACUCCUACGGGAGGCAGCAGUAGGGAAUUUUCGGCAAUGGAGGAAACUCUGACCGAGCAACGCCGCGUGAACGACGAAGUACUUCGGUAUGUAAAGUUCUUUUAUUGAAGAAGAAACAAUAGUGGAAAAACUAUCUUGACGUUAUUCAAUGAAUAAGCCCCGGCUAACUAUGUGCCAGCAGCCGCGGUAAUACAUAGGGGGCGAGCGUUAUCCGGAAUUAUUGGGCGUAAAGGGUGCGUAGGCGGUUUAAUAAGUCUCUAGUUUAAUUUCAACGCUUAACGUUGUCCUGCUAGAGAAACUGUUUAACUAGAGUGAGAUAGAGGUAAGCGGAAUUCCAUGUGUAGCGGUAAAAUGUGUAAAUAUAUGGAGGAACACCAGAGGCGUAGGCGGCUUACUGGGUCUUUACUGACGCUGAUGCACGAAAGCGUGGGGAGCAAACAGGAUUAGAUACCCUGGUAGUCCACGCCGUAAACUAUGAGUACUAAGUGUCGGGGUUAAACUCGGUACUGAAGUUAACACAUUAAGUACUCCGCCUGAGUAGUACGUACGCAAGUAUGAAACUUAAAGGAAUUGACGGGAUCCCGCACAAGCGGUGGAUCAUGUUGUUUAAUUCGAAGAUACACGAAAAACCUUACCAGGUCUUGACAUACUCUGCAAAGCUAUAGAAAUAUAGUGGAGGUUAUCAGGGAUACAGGUGGUGCAUGGUUGUCGUCAGCUCGUGUCGUGAGAUGUUAGGUUAAGUUCUAAAACGAGCGCAACCCCUGUCGUUAAUUGCCAGCACGUUAUGGUGGGGACUUUAGCGAGACUGCCAAUGAAAAAUUGGAGGAAGGUGGGGAUUACGUCAAAUCAUCAUGCCCCUUAUGAUCUGGGCUACAAACGUGAUACAAUGGCUAUUACAAAGAGUAGCUGAAACGCGAGUUUUUGGCAAAUCUCAAAAAAAUAGUCUCAGUUCGGAUUGAAGUCUGCAACUCGACUUCAUGAAGUUGGAAUCGCUAGUAAUCGCGAAUCAGCAUGUCGCGGUGAAUACGUUCUCGGGGUUUGUACACACCGCCCGUCAAACCACGAAAGUGGACAAUACCCGAAAGCGACAGCCUAACUGCGUAAGCAGAGGGAAUCGUCUAAGGUAGGGUCGAUGAUUGGGGUUAAGUCGUAACAAGGUAUCCCUACCGGAAGGUGGGGAUGGAUCACCUCCUUUCU